GGAAGCAGAACCAGUCAAAUCAAUAACUCAAGAUAGAGCAGUCAAAUUUGUAUCAAAAACAUAAUCUGCAAAUUCGGAGUUCCGAUCUAGAUCAUUACGGACAACGACACUCAAUUCGCAGGAAAAGCAAUGAAGGCAUUUUGCAAAGACAUCAAUAACAAGCUAAGUUUCGCAUCAGUCCACCAUCCUCAUACUAACGGCCAGGUAAAGGCAGUCAACAAAGCAAUAAUCAAAAUUUUAAAGAGAAAGGCAGGAGACAAUCCAAAAACAUGGGUGAUAGAGACGAUACUUGUAAAGCAAAGAUUAUUGAAGAAGCUCGCUGGCAGUUGGAGCUGUUGUCGCCGGAAUCGUCCACUGGGGGAAAUGAAGAUCGAGAAACUCCAAACGAGGAGAAUGCGAGGGUGCCGGAUCGUCGACCAGAGCGCAAACGGGUCCUGUCAACCCGAUUGCAUGGAUAUGAUUUAAAUUAGGGAUUUCCGUUUUAUUUUAAAUUGAUAUGUUAAGUUGUACCGCAAGACUUGUAUUGCGUUAAGCUGUAGUUUAAGUAAAUGAGACCUAUAAAAGGGAAUAGCUGU
rnacentral:lncRNA from 1 species